GAAGUGCAAAGCCGCGAGGUGGAGCCAAUCCCCAAACGGCCUCUCAGUUCGGAUAGUAGUCUGCAACUCGACUACUUGAAGUCGGAAUCGCUAGUAAUGGCGGAUCAGCAUGCCGCCGUGAAUACGUUCCCGGGUCUU
rnacentral:rRNA from 1 species